rnacentral:rRNA from 1 species
UACGGAGAGUUUGAUCCUGGCUCAGGAUGAACGCUGGCGGCGUGCCUAAUACAUGCAAGUCGAGCGAACUGAUUAGAAGCUUGCUUCUAUGACGUUAGCGGCGGACGGGUGAGUAACACGUGGGCAACCUGCCUGUAAGACUGGGAUAACUUCGGGAAACCGAAGCUAAUACCGGAUAACAUCA